rnacentral:rRNA from 1 species
UGAGGAAUAUUGGUCAAUGGGCGAGAGCCUGAACCAGCCAAGUAGCGUGCAGGAUGACGGCCCUAUGGGUUGUAAACUGCUUUUAUGUGGGGAUAAAGUGCGUGACGUGUCAUGCAUUGCAGGUACCACAUGAAUAAGGACCGACUAAUUCCGUGCCAGCAGCCGCGGUAAUACGGAAGGUCCGGGCGUUAUCCGGAUUUAUUGGGUUUAAAGGGAGCGUAGGCUGUCUAUUAAGCGUGUUGUGAAAUUUACCGGCUCAACCGGUGGCUUGCAGCGCGAACUGGUCGACUUGAGUAUGCAGGAAGUAGGCGGAAUUCAUGGUGUAGCGGUGAAAUGCUUAGAUAUCAUGACGAACUCCGAUUGCGCAGGCAGCUUACUGUAGCAUAACUGACGCUGAUGCUCGAAAGUGCGGGUAUCAAACAGG